rnacentral:lncRNA from 1 species
CCCUCUCAACUGACUGAAUCAACGAGGAGUACCUAGAAUGCAGCUUCAUAACAUACCUCUUGGCUUUCUUCGUAUCUGAAUCUAGAGCUUGCCCUGAAAAAGGCAAUAGCUCUAAGAAUUUAUCCGUGAACUCCUCCACACUCAUGUGUUCUGUCUGCCUCAGUUGCUCAAACUCAAUCAUUUUCAGUUCUCUGGAACUGUCUGGAAAAGCC